GUGCUCACUUUGGUAGCAUAUACAUUAAAAUUGGAAUGGUACAGAAAUUAGCGUGGCCCCUGAGCAAGGAUGACAUAAAAAUUCAUGAAGUGUUCUAUAUUUAA
rnacentral:snRNA from 1 species